rnacentral:rRNA from 1 species
GCAAGUCGAGGGGCAGCACGGUUUUCGGACUGGUGGCGACCGGCGCACGGGUGCGUAACGCGUAUGCAACCUACCUACAACAGGGGGAUAGCCCGGAGAAAUCCGGAUUAAUACCCCAUAAUGCAGGGGUGCCACAUGGUACUAUUUGCUAAAGAUUUAUUGGUUGUAGAUGGGCAUGCGUCUGAUUAGUUAGUUGGUGAGGUAACGGCUCACCAAGACUACGAUCAGUAGGGGUUCUGAGAGGAUGAUC